rnacentral:rRNA from 1 species
UACAGAGGGGGCGAGCGUUGUUCGGAAUUACUGGGCGUAAAGGGCGCGUAGGCGGCCCGCUAAGUCGAACGUGAAAUCCCUCGGCUUAACCGGGGAACUGCGUCUGAUACUGGAUGGCUUGAGUUUGGGAGAGGGAUGCGGAAUCCCAGGUGUAGCGGUGAAAUGCGUAGAUAUCUGGAGGAACACCGGUGGCGAAGGCGGCAUCCUGGACCAACACUGACGCUGAGGAGCGAAAGCCAGGGGAGCAAACGGG